AUUGAACGCUGGCGGAAUGCUUUACACAUGCAAGUCGAACGGUAGAGGGGGCAACCCCUUGAGAGUGGCGAACGGGUGAGUAAUAUAUCGGAACGUGCCCAGUCGUGGGGGAUAACGUGGUGAAAAUUACGCUAAUACCGCAUACGAUCUAAGGAUGAAAGCGGGGGAUCGCAAGACCUCGCGCGACUGGAGCGGCCGAUAUCAGAUUAGGUAGUUGGUGGGGUAAAGGCUCACCAAGCCAACGAUCUGUAGCUGGUCUGAGAGGACGACCAGCCACACUGGAACUGAGACACGGUCCAGACUCCUACGGGAGGCAGCAGUGGGGAAUUUUGGACAAUGGACGCAAGUCUGAUCCAGCCAUUCCGCGUGCAGGAUGAAGGCCCUCGGGUUGUAAACUGCUUUUGUACGGAACGAAAAGGUUUCUAUUAAUACUAGGGGCUCAUGACGGUACUGUAAGAAUAAGCACCGGCUAACUACGUG
rnacentral:rRNA from 1 species